AACGCACAUUGCGCCCUGUGGUAUUCCGCAGGGCAUGCCUGUUCGAGCGUCAUUACAACCACUCAAGCCUGGCUUGGUAUUGGGGUUUGCGGUUCCGCAGCCCCUAAAACUAGUGGCGGUGCCGGUGUGGCUCUACGCGUAGUAAUUCUUCUCGCGAUGGAGUUCCCCUGGAUACCUGCCAGAACCCCCCAAUUUUUACAGGUUGACCUCGGAUCAGGUAGGGAUACCCGCUGAACUUAA
rnacentral:misc_RNA from 3 species